GCUGUUCCUUGGUGAGAGAAUAUGUUUGCCAUCAUACACAAAAUCAGAUGACAGACAAAAAAUGUGCAGACUUAGAAAGUAUCAUGCAGUAAACUACAGCCUUCAGUCACUUUAAAGUGUAAAAAAAAUGGCACCAGAGGGACAUAUAAAUCCAAUAAUAGUCUGCUAUACUGUUUUAAUUGGCCAGAUGUACGCUACCAAGAUGACUGUGAUUGAAGACAAAAGAGAGAGAAAAGUGCAAUGAAAAACAUGGACAUGAAAAUCCUUGACAUUCCUCCAUUUCCAGUCAACCUUCAUGAAUACAAUAAAAAAAAUCCCUCUCUGUGCAAAGCUGUUGGAUAUCUCAGAAUGAAUUGAUCAACUUUCUUUAGUAUAUACAUCCUAGACAGGAAGAUGUGUACCAUAUUAAAACACUGUUUAGUGUUGAUGCUCGAUUAAAAAGAUAUUUAAACCAUA